AGAGUUUGAUCCUGGCUCAGAACGAACGCUGGCGGCGUGCCUAACACAUGCAAGUCGUACGAGAAAAUCCGCUUCGGCGGGUGAGUAGAGUGGCGCACGGGUGAGUAACGCGUGGAUAAUCUGCCUUUAAGCUGGGAAUAACUCACCGAAAGGUGGGCUAAUACCCGAUAAUGCUAUGGGACUUCGGUUUUAUAGCCAAAGAGAGCCUCUACAUGUAAGCCUUCACUUAAAGAUGAGUCCGCGUACCAUUAGCUAGUUGGUAGGGUAAUGGCCUACCAAGGCGACGAUGGUUAGCUGGUCUGAGAGGAUGAUCAGCCACACUGGAACUGAGACACGGUCCAGACUCCUACGGGAGGCAGCAGUGAGGAAUAUUGCGCAAUGGGGGCAACCCUGACGCAGCAACGCCGCGUGAGUGAGGAAGGUCUUCGGAUCGUAAAGCUCUGUCGGGUGGGAAGAAGUGUGCAUAGGUUAAUAGCUUGUGCACUUGACGGUACCGCCAAAGGAAGCACCGGCUAACUCCGUGCCAGCAGCCGCGGUAAUACGGGGGGUGCGAGCGUUGUUCGGAAUCAUUGGGCGUAAAGAGCGUGUAGGCGGCUAGGCAAGUCAGAUGUGAAAUCCCUGGGCUUAACCCAGGAAGUGCAUUUGAAACUGCUUAGCUUGAGUAAGGAAGAGGGAAGUGGAAUUCCUGGUGUAGAGGUGAAAUUCGUAGAUAUCAGGAGGAACACCGGUGGCGAAGGCGACUUCCUGGUCCUAUACUGACGCUGAGACGCGAGAGCGUGGGGAGCAAACAGGAUUAGAUACCCUGGUAGUCCACGCCGUAAACGAU
rnacentral:rRNA from 1 species